CGAGCGGGGGGAAAUAACGUUAAGUUUCGCAAACUGCACCGGGGUAUCGGCGGAGCGGCUGGCGCCCGGGCGUUGCAUUUAUUGAGGAAGCGGCAGCAGCAGCACGUUGUCAGCCCGCUGAGGCUGGGGCCGAUCGCUCGCCGACUGAUACUUUGGAACGCCUUAAAUCUGGUGUACACUUAGCAUGUUGCCUAUGUCUUCAGAUACCUGCAUACAGAUAUGUUUACUGUGGCAUUCGUUCAGCUGCUGAAAUUCUUCUGUCCAUGUAAACGGACACUUCCAGAAUGUUCGUGCUGAGAUGGAGCCUAUAUGAGCUAUAGACUGAAACUGUACGUCCUCGCAGCACAGAUGGAGUAUUCUGUCAUUAGAAGUGUUUGUUGCCUGUUGGAACACACAGCAUAUUUCUACCAUGGCAUCAACAGUU
rnacentral:lncRNA from 1 species